GUGGCGGUCCCCGAGUCGGCCCAGUGAGGGCUGAACUGCUGCUCCCAGGAACCGAGCGGGGUGGGCUCGGUCCGACGCGCAUCAUGGCCGAGUGCCUAGGCCUGACUCUGAGCGCAGGCCUAGCGUGGAUGGGAUGGGCGCGACACAGCUCCAAGUUACGCGAUUCAAACUCUUGGAAUAAACCCAGGGCAGCCCUGGGGCUGUGUUGAUUCCUUGUCUCCCUCCCUCUCAGCAUUUACAGAAAAGACGCAUUUAUGGGAAAGACGCACGGGCAGGUCCAGCAGAGCCCUUACAAGCAUUUCAGCCUUUUAGAAAUCAGAUAAGAGCCUCUAAACAUCGUUACAUGGGCCGCAGUUACAUUAAGACAGGCGUUCUGACGUUCUGAAACCGCCUUUGCAAAAAAUUGUAUCGGUGAGAGAAGGAUGGCCUUGAAGGAGAUCUGGCCAACCCCCAUCUUGCCUUUGGCCUUAAAGCUGCCCUUAAUUAUUCCUGGAUAAGCAAAGGUUUCUUGCACGUCUGACACAGAUGGAUCCAGCUAGAUGUCUUGCCAACAGCUCCUGUGGCCCCACCCAGAAGCCAUGCAGCACAAAAGGACCAAAAGGACAGCUAGAUUUCAUCUCGCACCUAACCAAUCAGCACUCCCCAUGCCCUAGCCCCCUGUUCACCAAACUACCUUUGAACAACCCCUAACCUAUGAGCCUUCAAUUGUAACCGAGCAGCUUAGCAGCUGUGAAUCCAAAAUAUCUGAGACAGGACUCAAUCUGUUUAGAAAGUUUAUUUUGUCAAGGUUAAGGACAAGCCCAUGACACAGCCUCAGGAGGUCCUGACGACACGUGCCCUGGGUGGCUGGGGCACAGCUUGCUUUCAUACAUUUUUAGGGAGACAUGAGACAUCAAUCAAUAUGUGUAAGAUGGAAAAAGAAGAAAAAAUAUAUGUAUAAGAUGUACAUUAAGCUGGGCGCGGUGGCUCACGCCUGUAAUCCCAGUACUUUGGGAGGCUGAGGCAGGUGGAUCGCCUGAGGUCAGGAGUUCGAGACCAGCCUGGCCAACAUAGUGAAACCCCGUCUCUGCUAAAAAUACAAAAAAUUAGCUGGGCGCGGUGGUGGGUUUCACUCGCGUCCAUGUGAAGAGACCACCAAACAGGCUUUGUGUGAGCAAUAAAGCUGUUUAUUUCA